UUCAAAAUAAAAAUACCUACCAACUAAUAAAUAUUAGCAAGUCAGCCCGUGAGUUUAGCUGGCUAUUACAAACUAAAAUCCUCAUAUUAGAAAUCACCGAUCGAUAUUAUAUUGUUUUCUCAGAUUAGAAAUACAAAUAACUUUGGACGGACAAACAUUAGUAUUAUUUGUCACAUUAUAUUGCGUCUGCUACAUGAAUCCCGCGCGUUCCGAUACACUCAAAAUCAGUUGAACGGACGGUAAAACAAGUAUCUUUAAAUUUCUAAUGUUAUAGUAAAUAGAGUAUAAUUAUGUAAUACGAUUUUAUGAUUUUAUUAUGGUUGUUCUGCAGCGAUUUUUCAAUUGAUGUUAUAUCAUAAUUUGGGUAAGUAAAAUUUUAUUGCUAUAAUUUUUCUGAAUUUCGGAACGUAUUUAAUAAAUUUUGUUUUAUCUAUGGUAUGGAUAUUUACUUUGCAAUAAUUUUCAUGACAUGAGACUACAUUUUGCUGCAAUUACAAGCGAUUUGAUCUGGUUUUGUUAUAAUUUCGUUUCAAUUUUAUGCGAAUAGGUACUGAGUUUAUAAAAGUAACAUAAUAUUGUCUUGUAUAUAAUUAGUUUUUGUGUAUUUCGGAUUCCGUUUACAUCUAGGUACCUACUAUGUCGGGGUCCUACGAGAAAGCUGGCGUAUCAACGCCACGAAUAUUUAGGCGCCCGUAAAUCGUCAAAACGAGUGAAAAGCGCAUUCAGUUGGAUACAUGUGGACGACAAGAUAGUAAACCUGUAAAUUAUAACUCAAGUUGUGGCCAGCUUCAUUGUAAACAAACUUUAGUUUUCAAGUUCAAGGACAUAUGCGUGUCAGUAACAUGGAUAAAUGCUACUUCAUAUGUUUUAUUUCAGUCAAUGAACCUUUGACUGUUAUAGAAGUUUGUCGAGAUAAUAUAAUGACUUUAUCAGCAAUAUGAUGCCAAAGUUAAUACACUUUUUUAAGAAUGUAUUCUGCCAGAAAUAGUUUUGAGACAUGUUCAAAAAAUGCGAAAUGUAUACCUAGGUAUGAAAGCAGCUGUGUAGCGGUAGUUUCCAGGCAAUAAUGAAGAAGGAUGAGUGAAAACAACACGACAAAUGUUUUUUAUUGUACUAUUAUAGUAGUGCGUUUAGAAUCUACAUUAUCAAUGUUUACAGUAAUGUUUUUUUUGAUGUCAGAAAACUGAAAUGGUGUACUCGUCGUAAUGAACAUAAUGUUCAUAAUGUGAUAUGAAUACAUUGACCUAUUUUAAGGUUUCUGAAAAACAAAAAGGAAAGUUGUUGCUUUUUUAUUUCCUUAUGUAGUAUAGUGAUUAUGGAUGCUUAGAUAUUCUCAAACAUUUUUCCGCUUUGAUUGCAAUCUAUUAUUCUGGUUGCCUUGUUUAUGAAUUAUAGUUUUGAAUUAUUAUUUUGAAUGAGAUUAUUUUUUAAUAAUCAGUCACGUAUCAAGCAUUCAUGUCACAUAAAUACUUGUAAUAAUUGCAGGUUAGUAUAUACAUUCUAUUAAAUAAUGUAUAAGAUAAUAAAAUAAAACUGUCUUACAUUGCA